rnacentral:rRNA from 1 species
AUGAACGCUGGCGGCGUGCCUAAUACAUGCAAGUCGAGCGAACAGACGAGGAGCUUGCUCCUCUGACGUUAGCGGCGGACGGGUGAGUAACACGUGGAUAACCUACCUAUAAGACUGGGAUAACUUCGGGAAACCGGAGCUAAUACCGGAUAAUAUAUUGAACCGCAUGGUUCAAUAGUGAAAGACGGUUUUGCUGUCACUUAUAGAUGGAUCCGCGCCGCAUUAGCUAGUUGGUAAGGUAACGGCUUACCAAGGCAACGAUGCGUAGCCGACCUGAGAGGGUGAUCGGCCACACUAGAGCUGAGACACGGUCCAGACUCCUACGGGAGGCAGCAGUAGGGAAUCUUCCGCAAUGGGCGAAAGCCUGACGGAGCAACGCCGCGUGAGUGAUGAAGGUCUUCGGAUCGUAAAACUCUGUUAUUAGGGGAGAACAAAUGUGUAAGUAACUGUGCACGUCUUGACGGUACCUGAUCAGAAAGCCACGGCUAACUACGUG